GCCAGGGAUAGCUCAGUUGGUGGAGCAUGAGACUCUUAACCUCAGGGUUGUGGUCUUGAGUCCCACAUUGGGCA